rnacentral:rRNA from 1 species
AGCGAACGCUGGCGGCAGGCUUAACACAUGCAAGUCGAGCGGGCAUCCUUGUGGUGUCAGCGGCAGACGGGUGAGUAACGCGUGGGAACGUGCCCUUCGGUUCGGAAUAACUCAGGGAAACUUGAGCUAAUACCGGAUACGUGCGAGAGCAGAAAGGUUUAUCUGCCGAAGGAUCGGCCCGCGUCUGAUUAGCUAGUUGGUGAGGUUACGGCUCACCAAGGCGACGAUCAGUAGCUGGUCUGAGAGGAUGAUCAGCCACACUGGGACUGAGACACGGCCCAGACUCCUACGGGAGGCAGCAGUGGGGAAUAUUGGACAAUGGGGGCAACCCUGAUCCAGCCAUGCCGCGUGAGUGAUGACGGCCUUAGGGUGGUAAAGCUCUUUUCUCCGGGACGAUAAUGACGGUACCGGAGGAAUAAGCCCCGGCUAACUUCGU